UGAGUGGGAGCUUCUGGAAAGGAAGGCUGUGGCCUGGAUUCGCACCCAUGCAGGUGCUGCCAUGCCUGGGCUUGUGAAAGCUGCUAACACUUUCCUGAAGUCAUCCGUGGAUCCGGCUAUCUUUUCACUCUGAAGAUCCCACCAGAAGAGAAGUGCCUUACCUUGACUAUGUCACUUCCUUUGCUGCCCUUCUGCUGAGAUGGCUUUCCAUGUUUUAGAUCACUCCUAUCAGUUCCUUGUCAUAAAAAUAAAGGAUGCUUACCCA